AAGUCGUAACAAGGUAACCGUAGGUGAACCUGCGGUUGGAUCAUUAACAAAUUUAUUACAAAAAGAAAGAAAUGUUGGAGAAUUUUUCUUCUCAUUUCUUUUCUUUUUUUAACACCUUUGUGAAUUGUAAACUGUCUCUGGUGAGUUUUAAAAUGUUUAAUGUAAAAUAUCCAUUAACCAAAAUUUUUGGUUCUUGGAUGUGAUACAUUUUUCAGGGUUCGCAAGUCAUGAAAAUUUUUUUUGACUCGUGCAACUCACUCACCACUUUAAAACCAUAAACAAAUUGUAUUAAUUUAUUACUAGUCUUAAAUUUUAUUAUUAAAUAUUUUUAAUAUUAAAACAACUUUUGACAACGGAUCUCUUGGCUCUU
rnacentral:misc_RNA from 1 species